GUCCCUGCAGCGCAAUGGAUAGCGCGUUGGACUUCUAAUUUAAAGGUUGGGGGUUCGAAUCCCUCCUGGGAUG
rnacentral:tRNA from 1 species